UAGGGAAUCUUCCGCAAUGGACGAAAGUCUGACGGAGCAACGCCGCGUGAGUGAUGAAGGCUUUCGGGUCGUAAAACUCUGUUGUUAGGGAAGAACAAGUGCUAGUUGAAUAAGCUGGCACCUUGACGGUACCUAACCAGAAAGCCACGGCUAACUACGUGCCAGCAGCCGCGGUAAUACGUAGGUGGCAAGCGUUAUCCGGAAUUAUUGGGCGUAAAGCGCGCGCAGGUGGUUUCUUAAGUCUGAUGUGAAAGCCCACGGCUCAACCGUGGAGGGUCAUUGGAAACUGGGAGACUUGAGUGCAGAAGAGGAAAGUGGAAUUCCAUGUGUAGCGGUGAAAUGCGUAGAGAUAUGGAGGAACACCAGUGGCGAAGGCGACUUUCUGGUCUGUAACUGACACUGAGGCGCGAAAGCGUGGGGAGCAAACAGGAUUAGAUACCCUGGUAGUCCACGCCGUAAACGAUGAGUGCUAAGUGUUAGAGGGUUUCCGCCCUUUAGUGUCG
rnacentral:rRNA from 1 species